rnacentral:rRNA from 1 species
UGGGGAAUUUUGGACAAUGGGCGAAAGCCUGAUCCAGCAAUGCCGCGUGUGUGAAGAAGGCCUUCGGGUUGUAAAGCACUUUUGUCCGGAAAGAAAUCCUUGGCUCUAAUACAGUCGGGGGAUGACGGUACCGGAAGAAUAAGCACCGGCUAACUACGUGCCAGCAGCCGCGGUAAUACGUAGGGUGCAAGCGUUAAUCGGAAUUACUGGGCGUAAAGCGUGCGCAGGCGGUUUGCUAAGACCGAUGUGAAAUCCCCGGGCUCAACCUGGGAACUGCAUUGGUGACUGGCAGGCUAGAGUAUGGCAGAGGGGGGUAGAAUUCCACGUGUAGCAGUGAAAUGCGUAGAGAUGUGGAGGAAUACCGAUGGCGAAGGCAGCCCCCUGGGCCAAUACUGACGCUCAUGCACGAAAGCGUGGGGAGCAAACAGGAUUAGAUACCCUGGUAGUCCACGCCCUAAACGAUGUCAACUAGUUGUUGGGGAUUCAUUUCCUUAGUAACGUAGCUAACGCGUGAAGUUGACCGCCUGGGGAGUACGGUCGCAAGAUUAAAACUCAAAUGGAAUUGACGGGGUCAUAGCUG